rnacentral:tRNA from 1 species
GGGGUUGUGGCUCAGAGGUAGAGCGCUCACCUAGCAUGUGCGAGGCCUUGAGUUCAAUCCUCAGCACCG